UACGUAGGGUGCAAGCGUUAAUCGGAAUUAUUGGGCGUAAAGCGUGCGCAGGCGGUUCGGAAAGAGAGGUGUGAAAUCCCAGGGCUUAACCUUGGAACUGCACUUCUAACUACCGGGCUAGAGUACGUCAGAGGGGGGUAGAAUUCCACGUGUAGCAGUGAAAUGCGUAGAGAUGUGGAGGAAUACCGAUGGCGAAGGCAGCCCCCUGGGACAUGACUGACGCUCAUGCACGAAAGCGUGGGGAGCAAACAGG
rnacentral:rRNA from 1 species